GGGCUAUUUUAGAAGCAGCACAACUGCCAAAAAUGGUGAUUAUAACGAACCGAUCCUUGCACAAUAUAUGGAGCACCUCAACCAUGGGGUAUCAGCUGGUGUCCCUGUGCUUGAUGCAUCCAAGACUCAACCAGACACUGAAGAUCAAGCAGCUGGCUUCCUUCACUCCCAGAAAGGAAUGUUAGGAGGUCAUAACUGCUGAUCAGAACUUUGGACAAGAGGGCUUAUCCUCAUGGCUCACUGACUUUCAUGACAAUUACGAUGGAAAUUGAGGUGUACAAGCGCCACCUUGAACAGACCUACGAGUUGUGCGUGCCUGUCAGACAGCUAAGCAGUAUGAC